rnacentral:rRNA from 1 species
UACGUAGGGUGCGAGCGUUGUCCGGAAUUACUGGGCGUAAAGAGCUCGUAGGUGGUAAUGUAAGUCUGGCGUGAAAUUUUUCGGCUUAACCGGGAAAGGUCGUCGGAUACUGCAUGACUAGAGGACGGUAGAGGCGUGUGGAAUUCCGGGUGUAGUGGUGAAAUGCGCAGAUAUCAGGAGGAACACCGGUGGCGAAGGCGGGUCUCUGGGCCGAUACUGACGCUGAGGAGCGAAAGCGUGGGGAGCGAACAGG